rnacentral:tRNA from 1 species
GGGCCCGUAGCUCAGCUGGCUAGAGCGUACGACUGAUAAUCGUAAGGUCGGUGGUUCGAGCCCUCGGGCCCACCA